rnacentral:misc_RNA from 1 species
UACGCGUCCGCCUUCUCCUUCGUUUGCCAUCUUCGGUUUUGUAUUGCACACCAGAUGUCUGUUAGCAUCAACCAGAAGCAUCACUAUUUUGUUUGGGCUGCGUUGAAUCGAAGAAGACAUUGGUGCUCUGGGAAGAUAUUGUUUAGGCAUUGGACUUGACUCUUGUGUGACUUUCUUUUGUUAGAAUUUGCUUCACUGAGACCUACUAGUGCUGUGGUCUUUUCAUUUUAUUUGUCUGUGCGGUUUUUUACUAUUUCCAAUGGCGAAGCUUCCACCAGGGUUUCGCUUUCACCCUACUGAUGUUGAGCUG